UACGUAGGGGGCUAGCGUUGUCCGGAUUUAUUGGGCGUAAAGAGCUCGUAGGCGGCUUGUCACGUCGGGUGUGAAAGACCGGGGCUUAACCCCGGUUCUGCAUUCGAUACGGGCUAGCUAGAGUGUGGUAGGGGAGAUCGGAAUUCCUGGUGUAGCGGUGAAAUGCGCAGAUAUCAGGAGGAACACCGGUGGCGAAGGCGGAUCUCUGGGCCAUUACUGACGCUGAGGAGCGAAAGCGUGGGGAGCGAACAGG
rnacentral:rRNA from 1 species